CCGCCGACCGCGUCCCUCGCGCCGACGGAUUACGUGACGGCGGCAUGCUAUCCCCCGGGAUCACAGCUCACCCUGACCGCCACUCACCCUCAGCCCCACGUCGUUGAUCCCGCGAUGACGCCCACUUCGGCGCCGGUACCGACUCCGACGUCGGCGUCGGGUCCCAACAAUCCCGUCGCCAUGAGCCAGCUGGGGACCGUCUACGCUACGAAGAGGCGGCGUCGAAACGGAAAGAGCUUGAAACCACCGCAGAAAGACGGGGUGACAAAGUCGAAUCCCAGCAAGCGGCAUCGGGAACGAUUGAACGCCGAGCUAGAUACGCUAGCAUCGUUACUCCCUUUCGAGCAAAAUAUCCUCAGCAAACUGGAUCGGCUCAGCAUCCUCAGACUCAGCGUCAGCUACCUCCGCACCAAGAGUUACUUUCAAGUGGUGAUGCACAAGGAUAAGGAAGAGAACUCACAUCACGACUCGCACUACAGGGCGAGAGAACUGGCGGCGCUCGCCGCUUACGACCAUCAUCACCUCGACGGCGAAAUGUUCCUACAGGCACUAAACGGGUUCCUGCUAAUACUGACUUGCGACGGGGAAGUGUUUUUCGCUACCCACAGCAUAGAGAGUUACCUUGGCUUCCAUCAGUCUGACAUCGUCCAUCAAAGUGUCUACGAAUUGGUGCACAGCGAAGACCGAGAGGAAUUACAGCGGCAAUUAAUGUGGAAUUCUUUCCUGCCCGCCGAAAGCGCAAGUUUGCCGUUACACGAUGCACUCUCGCCCCAGCAUUGUCAUCUACUCGAGCGCAGUUUCACGGUUCGCUUCCGUUGUCUCCUGGACAAUACAUCCGGUUUUCUGCGUCUGGACAUCAGGGGUCGAGUUAAGAUACUUCACGGUCAAAACCGGAAGACGGAAGAGCCGCCGCUUGCGCUAUUUGCUCUGUGCACGCCGUUCGGACCUCCUUCGCUUCUGGAGGUGCCGCAGAAGGAAGUGAUGUUCAAAAGCAAGCACAAGCUGGAUCUCGCGCUUGUGACGAUGGAUCAGAGAGGAAAAAUGCUGUUAGGCUAUUCCGACGCGGAACUAACGAAUCUCGGUGGCUAUGAUCUUGUUCAUUACGACGACUUGGCUUACGUUGCUAGUGCGCAUCAAGAAUUAUUAAAAACCGGUGCGUCAGGGAUGAUAGCCUACAGAUUUCAAACAAAGGACGGCGGGUGGCAGUGGCUGCAGACUAGCUCUAGGCUAGUUUAUAAAAACUCAAAACCAGACUUCGUACUAAGCACUCAUCGACCUCUUAUGGAAGAGGAAGGUAGAGAUCUUCUCGGCAAACGUACGAUGGACUUCAAAGUAAGCUAUCUGGACGCCGGAUUGACCAACAGUUACUUCUCGGACAGCGACAAUCUGACCGGAUCAGUUAUGACGCCGACGUUACCAGCGCAGCCGGCGCCGCAGAGAGUGAACAGGCGAUACAAGGCACAAUUCCGAGACUUCCUCUCGACGUGCCGAAGCAAACGCACGAAACUCUCCGCUCAGUCGUCAGUCUCGCCGCCCGUGACUCCCACAGUGGCAUCCGUGGAUUAUCUUGCGGCGGACACCAGCGCAGCAGCUGCGGUCGCGGCGGCGUACAGCAAUCUGAACACCAUGUACCCGACGCCGUAUGCGCCCACAGUGGCGGCCAGCACUGACCCAUCUUUGACAACUUACAUCGGUCACACGAGCAAUUACCAUCAAACUCUCUAUCCGACGACCGCGUUAGACAAUAGGUAUCUUACAGCUACGGAGAACUUAUUUCAAUACAGGCCGCUGGGCUCGUACUAUCCGGAGUACCACACCGGCACCGCGUACAACGGUUUCAUCGACGUGUCGCUGCCCACGUACGAGACUCACCAGUUAGCUAGCAAAACGGAAGAUAAACUUUACUGCCAGCAACUCGGCAGCGGCGAGUCGCCCAAGUACAGCUACGUGGAGACGAGACACCCCGGCAGCGUGAGCGGUUCGCCGUACGCCGCCAGUCCGGUGGCGAGCGCAUCCACGAUGCAUCCGACGACGACCGACAUGAACGUCGUACGUGCCGGGAGCAGGCACUCGCUAGAGGGUGGCGCGUCGUCCAGUAACUCUGCUGGCAGCUCGCCAGUGACCGGCGCGGCCAACGGCGUCUUGACGCCGAAAAUGGAGGACGUGAAGUCUGAGGUGUAUAGCAACGAAGCGCCACGGCAGACCGUGCUGAUGUGGGGUGCACCGCCGUCGCGCACACCGCCUAGGAACAACGGCAGCUACAGCCCGCCGACGCCGCACUCGACACACUCGUCGACGCAUUCGACCAACGCUACCGGCGAUCCGCUCAAGUCGCUGGCGGAGAUGAACUCCAUGAACGGAGACUGCAAAUGGCGGCAAACCUCACCCACGGAUCAACAAGUGACCGCAUCGAGUCCCCCGAGGAACAAUAAAGCGCAACAAUCUCAGCAGCAGCAACAACAGCAGCAACAUCAUCAUCAACAGCAGCAGCAGCAGCAGCAGCAGCAACAACAACAUCAGCAAUAUCCAGUGACUACAUCACAAUACCAGGCAGCCGCAGCAGCCGCCGCGGCCGCCGCUGCCGCUGCCAGCACCAUCGGUUACACGCACUCUCAUCCGGGCCAUGGCGGGCACGGGGAAGCGGGCUCCGAGGUAUGGCAAGGAGUGCAACACCAUCACUACCAGUACUAUCCCUACCACCAUCACCACCCCGCACCACCAAGGCACACGCCCCACACGCCACCGUCAGCUGCGGGAACGGGGACGGGGGUGGGAGCAGGCAUGGGCAUGGGCACCGGAGUGGACAACAGCACCAGCAACAGCAACGUCUUGUACCAUCCUCCGCACCACCACCAUCACGUGGGAUCGUCAGCGGUGGCAACGGCGGCAAUGGGCCCAACUGUCCCACAGAUUCCAAACCGGACGCCGGGAGUCCUCUGUUGUCCAUCUCUGAGGUGACUAACACCCUGCUCAACCAAUAGUCCCUUUGUAACUUCGGCGUCGCUUCGUAUCAACGACGAAGAUAUCUCUGAGAUGUUUUCGUCGAGGCGGAUCCCAAAACCCGUCACUGUAUCAUACAGAUAAUGUCGAUUUAAAGAAAUAAGUAUAUUCGUAUAGUAUUGUAACAUACUCACUACAGAGCUAAUAACCAAUCUAUUAUUACAUAACUUUCAUUGCAUUAAUUUAUCCGUACCGAUACCGAUUAAGUGGAUGUUCUUCAGGAUUCACGGUUUGAAUGCAUAUACAUGAUCGCGCGCUUGUAUGCUUGAGGGGCAGCGAUCACAAGGCGUCUUGCGAUUUUAUUUAUUCGCCGCUGUAAGACGCAGCGAUUGCUCGACGAGUAGCAAUAACACUUCAUUACAGAAUGGACACAAAAAUUGGGAAAUUCAACUUUUAAAUAAAUUUUUAUUUUCAAAGAUUAAGCAUUGAAAAUAAACGCACAGAUAUUUAUCGCGAUUUAACCUUAUUUUCUUAUAUAAAAAUAAAUAAACUUUUAAUUUAUGUUCUUAUAUAGAAAUGCAGAAUUAUUUUUAUCUUGUAAUAAACUUACGUGCUUGAAAAGAUACGAAUUGAGAGCGAUUCAUUAAAUAAUAUGAUAAAAGUAUAGUUCCAAUGUGUAUCUUAUUACGUUCUUCAAAACUUUUUUAAUUUUUACAAUUACAACGAACGGUGCGUAUUUCCUCGAUUUCACUUCUGUUCUGUAAUGGAUGGGAAAAUAUAGCGAAGUAGGAUAGUGAUCACUGCCUAAACAUUGGAGCAAGAUGGGGUAAUGAAUGAUAUUUCUUUGAACCAAAAACCGGCAAAGUCAGUAAACUUAUAUCUGAAGGCACAAAAUUUGUCAUUUUGAUCGGACUUGGACAAGCGCAACAUACGCAACUUUAGUUUGUAUCAAUAAUGCGUCGACGUAUUUGUAUAAUUCUACUUAAUACUAAUGCUUUUGUAUCCCGUGCUAUUGCGUUUGUAUAAUUCUUUUUCUUCUAAAAGAGGAUAUGGAUUCUGUGAUAUGUGUUAGGUAAUUUAAACGAUAUUCUUCAGAGAGAAGACGUAUUUGAGCGUAAUAUUUAUUGACAUAGAAUGGCGAUAAGGCAACUCGUCGAGGAAUUGUGAGGAAUGCGAGCGGUAUGUCGUGAUACGAAUUAUAAAUGCAGAAGUACAUGAGAUUGACCUUUUACGAAUGAAAGUAGAAAGUGUUCUGAUUUUUAACGAGAGGUGAAUUUUUGCAAGGACGUUCCAAGGAUGCGUACAGUGUAAGAAACGACGGUUUCAAAAAUGUCUCGAGCAGAUUGUUAUUACGAUAAGCGAGCAGAUAGUCUUGUUUAAGUAAAAAGAAACACACACUAUCAACAUUCCACAUAUAUACAUAUAAGCAAAUCAAUUCUUCUCAGUUAUAUGUAUUGAAGCGGAAUUCCUGUUGCCAGGAUAAGGCAAAAAUGUAAAAUAUGUUCUCUUCCUUUUACGAUAAAACUACUCUUCACUUUACACGAGUUUUUUAUAAAAAUUGAGACUCCAGUAUCUCUCACUAAACUGUUUUUAAAUAAACUCACUAUUCAUGCGCGACUCUUGGCUUCCUGCAUAUUUAUUUCGAAUAAUAAUUCGCGAUAAUUAAUGGGUUGUAAGUAGAGGUUGAAAAAAAGGAUGAAAUUCUCGUUCACAUUUGUCGAUUAAUCGCGCUAUAAUUUUAAAGAUCAAAAUUUAUUUAUAGCAAACAAAAUAAGACAUUAUGAAAUAAUAGAAUUGUUAAAAAUUAUUUUUAUCAGUAUUUUUUUAUAGUAUUUGUUGCUACAACAUUGUGAAGUCGUAUUUAUAAAUGCAGCAAUGAAUAUUAUGUUGAAAAUAUCAAUAUAAAACAUUUUGUACGAAAAAAUGUCGAAUAUAUAAGAAACUGCCAAGGUGAAAUUUAAAAAUUCUUGGCAAAGAAUAAUAUUUUGAUCGUAGUUUUACAUUUCGAUUAAUCGGCUAUUGUAAUGGGAAUUGAUACGAAGCUUUGUGCUCCUUGAGUUAUUUGAGUUCUCUUACAGGCGGUGAGAAUCUCGUUAGAUAAUUGGUAAGAGAACGGAAAGUGAUGCGAUAUUUGUAGCCCGUUAAUUCGGCUGAACCACUGUCUUGCCAAUAUUUUGUUAAUAAGUUUGUAAUUUUUGUACUUAAUUAAUUUAUAUAUAUUAUUUAUGUAUACGCGUAUAAUUCGUGUUUAGCGACGCUAGAUGGGCCUUCCAAUAAUUUUAGGUGCAUUCUCACUUGCAAAGUCACGGAAAUCUUCGAGAACUCAUUGAAUCACAACGACGAAAGCGAAAAUUCGAGCGAAUAUUACCCGAGCACAAAGAAAAGAAAGCUAUUUUUAAGAUAAUAUUGAAAGAGCUGUUAUUCUCACACGCUUCUAAAAAAAGCAUAACUUUGCAUAUCUGCAACCGCAUAUCAAAGUGGUAAAAGUAAAGUUAAAGAGAGCGAGAUAUAUAUUUAGAUAUUCUCUUCCAUACUUCUCGAAUCAUCGCAUUAUUUAUUAACUGUAAUAUGUAGGAUGUAUCAGGCGCGUUGUACAAAAAUAACGCACCCCUCUCCCUAUUAAAGAUAAUAAGCGAAUUCCGUUUCCUAUGCGUUUUAUUCUUAAUAACACAUCGUACUUUUUGUAUAUGUACGAAAUAUGUGUCUAUAUUUUUAACAUAAUUGUAAUAUCUGAUGCAAAAACUAGGCAAAAGCGUUCUUUUUAACGAAUCAAUUGUAUGUGAAAUUUUUAUCUAUAAAUUAAUAUGAGAAUUAUGCGUUUCUUAAUGUUAAUAAUUAACGAAUAGAAAUAUAUUGAAGAAAGAUACAUAGAAGAAUGCAAAAACUGCAUUAUUUAAUUUUAUAGAAAUGAAACAAAAUUUCGAAACAUCUUGGAUUUUAUCGGCUUUACAGUAACAUGCGCGAAAAUUGGAUUUGCCUGAUGUCUUUGCAUCCUGAUCUUCGAUUAUCUAAACAUCCCACUCUACUUUAAUUAACUUUGCAAUUAAAUGCAGCUCAAGAUGGCAUCGGAACUUGUUACUAUCAAACAUGUCUGUCAUUUCGCGAACAUCUUGCUCAUCGAAAAAUGUAAUUAACAUAAUGCCAAAUGCAAAAAAUUUAUAAAAUAACACUCUCAAAAAUUAGUUUAUACGUUUAAAAAUUGUAUUCAAGCACUUCUCGAUCAUUAAUCUUUAUUUAAUUUUAUCUUACUGGAGUCUUCCUAACGUCUUCUUCGUGUGCCUGCCGACAUACGGAUUGAGUAUACAAUUUAAUAAUUUAGAUUUCUUUGCGAUAAGCUGUACUUUUCACGAUAUAAUUUCUUAAACGCUUCUAGACUUUUAUAUAAAAUAAGACAAAAGUAUAUCAAACAGAGAUUAUAGACGCGUUUGAUAUAGACACGACAUAAAUUUGAAUGAGGAAGAGAAGAUAAAAGAAAUAUUAAAGAUUAAGAGACACACUGAUAGUAAUUCGUUUUGAGCCAAAAUCUUGUACAUCUAUAUUUCUGACUUACUGUUAUAGCUUGCGAAAAAUAUCCUCGUUUCUCUGCAAUAUUCUUAAUGAUAAGAAACUACUAUUAUUAUUAUAAGUAAUCGAGUCUAGUCCAUUCAUAAAAAAAGCGAAUUAACGAUAUACUUAAAUUGUGAUAAUAUUCUCGCCGUAGAAUAGAUUCAAUCGACAAUCUUAUCAAUUAUCACUGUAAGUUCUCUUAGCACGCUAACGUGUAAAAGUAAUUAUAACAAAGAAUAAUACAAUUCCUGUGUGAGAUAAUUAUCGACAGUCGUCUUUGUGUACGUUGCGUUACGAUCGCGAGGAUAUUUUCACAAUCUAAGCAUAAAUGUAUAUUCAUUGUAUAUUUAAAGUAAGAUAUCUUAUAUUAUAUAAUAAUAACAAGCAUAAUUAUAUAAAAUCAUUGUCAGUACAGAUUUUCAAGCAGCUAUCCAUAAUAGGUCGAGAACACGUACUUUAUAUUUCCAACAGUUGUCAUAAAAUAUGAUUGAAACGUGAUUUUCUUGAUGUUCCGUUCCGCAUGCUGGAUAAAUCUACGCUGCUCCUGAAAGCAAUUUCGCUCAAGAAACUUGGAAAAGCUUGCUGAAAAGUUCUGGCAAAUAAAUUAAAAAUAAUUAAUAGAAAAGUUGAGAUUGGUCUUACUAAAUAUCGAACAUUAUAUUAAUGGACAAUUACAAACUCUUCGUUCAAUAAUUUCCCUUUUUCUUACUGAAUUUCAAUUUGCAUCAUCUAAUUUAUAUUCUGCUGCUAUUUUCUCCCAUUCUUGCAACAAUUAAUGCUAUUCUAAAAUAAAGAACGAAAUAUUUAUUUCACGACAAGUGUAUUUUUACGCAAAUUGAAAAUAGAAAAUAUGCUU
rnacentral:misc_RNA from 1 species